rnacentral:misc_RNA from 1 species
GAUGAAGAACGCAGCGAAAUGCGAUAAGUAAUGUGAAUUGCAGAAUUCAGUGAAUCAUCGAAUCUUUGAACGCACAUUGCGCCCGCCAGUAUUCUGGCGGGCAUGCCUGUCCGAGCGUCAUUUCAACCAUCAAGCCCCGGGCUUGUGUUGGGGACCUGCGUCCGACGCAGGCCCUGAAAACCAGUGGCGGGCUCGCUGUCCACACCGAGCGUAGUAACUAACCUCGCUAUGGAGUGGCGCGGGCGCCUGCCGUAAAACCCCCAAUUUUUACAAGGUUGACCUCGGAUCAGGUAGGAAUAUCCGCUGAACUUAAGCAUAUCAAUAAGCGGAGGA